rnacentral:lncRNA from 1 species
UUUCAAACAAAUGUUUAGUUUUUAGAAAAUUGGCUGUCAGAAAGUUUUAUUUCCAAUCCCAACUGAUAUUCAUUAUUACAUUACUACUAUUUUUUUAUUUACUUCAGUUUAUCUUCCGCCUAGUAUUUUUUUACUUUUCAGUAUUCUCAGUAGUAUACCAGACCAUGGGUUAGCUUGGAGUCACUUGUGGCUCUACGGACCGUGUUAUGACUAAGGGGUAGUCUU